CGCCUAUGCGCUCGGGGGCCCGCGCCCGCUCCGGCCUGGGCCGCCAGAAAGUUUUUUAGUUCCGCUUGCAAUGAAAACUUUUCUCUGUCUGUCUCUCUGUCUCUCUCUCCCUCACUCUCUUGUUUUUCCUCUCUAACCCGGAUAUGGGGGGGAAAUGCACGACUUGCCUGAGCCUAUCGGGCCCAGCGCGGCGUGAGGGAGCCGAGCGAGCCGGAGCAACUAUUAUCCGCUUCUCUCCGAGGGCUGCUGCGCACUCGCAAAACGCGGACUGGACUCGGCCCUCGGCGCCGCCGCCGCUGCCGCCUCGCCCAGCCUGGCUCACUGGACCCGGCCCGGGGGAGAGGGGGGCGCAGGCUGCCGGCACUCGCUCGCGGCCCGGAGCUGCUCUUUCCCCUCGUGCCUCCGGUCUCCUUGCCAACCCGCGUCCCUGUGUUUGUUUUCACGUCUAAAGGGAGCGCUACGAAGGUGGAGAACGAGUCUGACGAGCAGACAAAAGAGGGAGAAGGGGCUGGGAAGCAAAGUUGUCUUGUUGGGCCUCCCGAGGUGGCCAUCGGCGUAAUUCCCACAACUUCAUCCAACUGGAAAUUAGGAAACACUCAGUGAAGGUUAAGCCGCAAAGACUGCUGUGCCCGGUACACAGCAGGCGCUCAAUAAUUGCUUAUGAUUCACUACUUCGACCCCCAAGACUUGCCGAGAGUCUACUUCCUGCCGUGUCCAAAAAAAGGAAAACGUGUUACCUUUGCCCAGUCCUGAAUAGGGAUCAACUAUAAACAUUUGCACCAAAACACAGUGAAGUCAGCCCUUUAGUGUUCCAGAGGACUUGAUCAGUGAAGAGCUGAGCUUAGAUUUCCUCACGGAGGACACCUAACAGAGCUGUCUGUUGGCAGCCCCUAUCAGACAUCUAACCCUCCAUCCACACAGCUCUGCCAACACUAAGGCCACCAGUCCUAGGUUGUACUUCCAGAAGCCUAUGUAAACUUUGUCUCCAAAGACUCUGGGAACACAUGGCAACACUGGAUCAUAUGAAGAAACACCUUACUGCAU
rnacentral:lncRNA from 1 species